CUCGUUCGCCUGCUGCGGGCAGAUGAAGUGGAUGUGGGUGUCGAUGCCGCCGGCGGUGAUGAUCUUGCCUUCGCCGGCCACCACGUCCGUACAGCUGCCGACGAUCAUGCCGGGCGUCACGCCGUCCAUGACAUCCGGGUUGCCCGCCUUGCCGAUGGCGGAGAUCAUGCCGUUCUUGACGCCGAUGUCCGCCUUGUAAAUGCCGGACCAGUCGACGAUGAGCGCGUUGGUCACAACCAUGUCCAAUGACUCCGAAUCCGGCCGGCCCGUCGCUUGGCCCAUUCCUUCUCUCAG
rnacentral:sRNA from 1 species